rnacentral:rRNA from 1 species
AGAACGAACGCUGGCGGCAUGCCUAACACAUGCAAGUCGAACGCUUCCGGGGCUUCGGUCGCGGAGGAGUGGCGCACGGGUGAGUAGCGCGUGGGAACCUGCCCUGUUGUGGGGGAUAACCGAGGGAAACUUCGGCUAAUACCGCAUACGCCCCGGGACUUGGUCUUCGGAUUAGGUCUGGGGGGAAAGAUUGAUCGCAGCAGGAGGGGCCCGCGUCGGAUUAGCUGGUUGGUGGGGUAACGGCUCACCAAGGCGAUGAUCCGUAGCUGGUCUGAGAGGAUGAUCAGCCACACUGGGACUGAGACACGGCCCAGACUCCUACGGGAGGCAGCAGUGGGGAAUAUUGGACAAUGGGGGCAACCCUGAUCCAGCAAUGCCGCGUGAGUGAUGAAGGCCUUAGGGUUGUAAAGCUCUUUCGCCCGCGACGAUGAUGACGGUAGCGGGAGAAGAGCCCGGCUAACUUCGUGCCAGCAGCCGCGGU